GGGCUCAUCUUUGUGGGUGGGUGGUUUGUGUCCCGGACACUCCCUAUAGCAGUCUGACAGUAAGACCAAAGUACAAUAGUGAGUCAAGGUCUUUUAAGAGAGAACCCAGAGGAGAGUCCGCGGGAAUGGAGAGAGCAGAUCCCAUCACAGAUGAGUGCCUGGAAGAGCCUGAAGUGGGGGCAGCCAUGGGCAUGACCCCAGCCAUAAUGAGCCUGGAAUGUUGCAGAAGCUCUUGAGUUUGAGGUCCAGUUGGUUUGCAGCAGCCUCUGCUCAUCAAGUGGAAAUCCAUCUCAUCCCUCCUGGUAUGAAAGAGACUGAGAUGCUUCUCAAGGCAACAACUGGGACCAGAUGACAAAUGUGACUUGAGUGUUCGUCUGAAUGCCAGAUGUGUGCCUGAGGACACGAAGAGAAUCUGGCUGCUCUGAAAAAUACCAGAAGACACUUUUGUCUCCUGAAUAUUUUUUUUCCCUCUCACUAAAUAAUUUUUUGCACUACUAACUAAUGUCACUAGUCAUUAUCUCCAGAAGACCACAGUUGAAUGCUACUGGGGAAGUGUGUUGCACGAACUCAUCUCCUUUCCUUGCACAGAGUGAUGUGGGUAACAGUUUCCUAGGCUUCCUUCCACCCCCUCAGCCCUGUGACCUUAGCUCAUGGUCUCAAUCUCCUUUGACCCCUGCUCCCAGUUCUCUUCCCCAUGCAGGUGUAUUUCAUCUGUCAGCAUUCACUGUUGAGCCUGACAACUGUGUUUCCCCGAGAAAUAUCUAUAUACUUUUUCUUUUUUUAAAAUUUUAUAUAUAUUUUAUAAAAUUCUUCAUUUUUGUACAAUGUGUGAUUUCUCCUCUCAGUUGUGUGUAGUCCCUGUGAAAUUCCCACCAUCAACUCACCCAUGCACCAUCACCAUAGUCCCUUGUGCUCGUCCCACCUGUUUUGAUCCCUGUCUCUCCCCCUCCCCUGCAGAAUGUCCCUGAUUUAUGUUGAUUUUGAUUUUGUAAUUUAUUAUAAUUACUUUUUUCCCCCUUGAUACUUAUUUGGUUCCUCUAUAUUCUUCCUUUAAGUGAAACCAUCUGAUAUUUUUCUUUUUCUUUCUGGCUUAUUUCACUGAGCAUAAUCCCUUCCAGUUCCAUCCAUGUUGCUGUGAAUGGCAUGAGUUUAUCUUUUUUGAUUGCCAAGUAAUAUUCCAUUGUGUAUAUGUACCACAUCUUCUUGAUCCAGUCAUUUAUUUUUUGGCAUUUGGGUUGUUUCCAUAGCUUACCUAUUGUAAAAAGUGUUGCAAUAAUCAUAGGGGUGCAAGUGUCCUUCUGAAUUAAUGUUUUUGUGUCCUCUGGGUAGAUACCUAGUAGUGGAAUUGCUGGAUCAUAUGGAAGCUCCAUUUUUAAUAGUUUGAAGAACCUCCAGACAGCUUUCCAUAGUGGUUGGACCAGUUUGCUUUCCUACCAGCAGUGCAGUAGAGUUCCUUUUUCUCCACAUCCUCACCAAUAUUUGUUGUUGCUAGUUUUUUUUUUUUUAAAUAUGUGCCAUUCUUACUAGUGUAAGAUGGUAUCUCAUUGUGGUUUUGACUUGCAUUUCCCUGAUUAAAAGUGAUGUUGAACAUUUUUUCAUAUGCCACUUGGCCAU